UUACAUAUAAUAAAUAAAAACAAAACAAAACACCAUGACCAAGGCAAUGUAUAGGAGGAAGAUUAAAAAAAAAAAAAAAGAAGUGUGUAGGAGUGUGGGAGUUCAAGAAAAGGAAAGUGCACAGGAAAAAAGCAGAGUACAAAAGAGAAUGCAGUGUGUGUGCAGCCUCAAGCUGUGAAUGAGUGAGAGAGAGACAGAGAGAGGAGAGAGUAAGCCUUGAAAAAUUGCCUGUCAGUUUGUACCUGAAAAGUAGUCUGUGUCUGUUUAUUAUGUGCCUUCCAGAUAUCCCUGCUUCCAGUUGAGAACUCUGACCCCGCUGGACCCUGACAAUGACGAAGCUUGACCAUUUUAAUAGACUUUGAAAGAAAAACCACAGGGCAGGCAAGCUAUAAUCUGUCAGUAAAUGGGGGACAGGAAAAAAGGGAAUGCAAAGGAGACUCAUCUCAUAUGGGCUCAACUCAGGAACCUGCCAGAGGCUCCCAGUCCCAGAAAGCAUCCACUGACUCAGUGGCUCUGAGUCCUUGUCUGCAGACUUGGCGUUCAU
rnacentral:lncRNA from 1 species